GGCAUAUAGCUCAGUUGGUAGAGUGCUUGCCUCACAUGCACAGCCCUGGGUUCAAUCCCCAGCACCA
rnacentral:tRNA from 1 species